GUUUGGCAAACGGGAGAGCUGAGGAGAGCCCAACAGUGGGAUCCUUUUACAGGGCUGGGAGUUAAUGCCACCUGAAGGAAUAAGCCAGAGUCCGUGCUGUCUUUGCAAUCGACGCCGUAUCAGAUCUCAUCGGCUUCCUCCCUGUGUAGCCUACUUGUGAUUUCUCCCGGUUCCCAACCGUGUGCGACGCGCGGAGACACCUCACCGUGGCUCUGUAGUACUGAGCAGGCUCCAGCUCGAGCUGUUAUUGGCGGACUCCUGCACGAUUUUAUCCAGCCCCCUUUUCUACUUGUUCCGCCCAGGUCUGACCGUGCCAUCAUCUGGCGGAGAGAUGAACUGCAAAUACGUAAUGCAGACUGUAGCCUGCUAUUUAUGAACGGCAUGCUUUCUUUGAUGCUUGUGGUGCAGCAGGUGCAUCAGAGGAGUAAUGGAGAUCCUCUGCGUUCAAAGGAAAACCUCUCAGUCAAUUAAUAAAUGGAAAUGAAUGGCAGCCAAAGAGAGGGAAGGAGAAGGAAGUCAAUAGACAGCUAAUUUAUUUUGGACAAAUCCAUACCACCAAAGGGGGGUCUGAAGGUGACAGCGAUGACUCAGAGGUGUCUCCUGUCCAGAAUCAGAGACUCCAGGGAUACCCUACCCCCCACCUUCAGCUAGACAAGAAGCAUCAUGGGUAAUAUGAUUCAGUCCAGCUUGCUGUGCAUGUGCAAGGAGCAAAACUCCACCCUGAAUUGUUGGUCUUUUGACGCAGGAGCAAAGCGUUCGGAGCUGUGACUGAAUAGAUGGCAGAUUUGGUGCCCAAACUACAGACUGCAAACUGAUGCAGAAAUUUGACACUGCUGUUUAACCUCAUUUUCAGUUUGAGAUGAAACCACAGAGGUGGAGGAGACGGAGAGCGAUGUGUAGUACGCAGAAGGAGAAACAAUGCAUCAUACAAUGUGUGUGUAUGUAGCACUACACAGUGCAAUUAAAAUGGAAAUACAUGCAUAUUCCUGUUGUGAAGUGGCAGCUGGUUCUGAGCCAGCAUCUCAAAGUUCAUCUGUUCAUUUAUUACGGUUUCUUUUCUCUGAUUCAUUUCUUUUCUUUUACUUUAUUUAGCCUUUGUCACACUGCCAUAUACGUGUAUAUAUUUUUUAUCUACAUAUGUUCAUUUGUGCAGCUAUGUUUCUUUAUUUAUGUUCUGUGAAUUUUGUGUUUGCUUUGUCUGUAUUUCCUGUAUUUCUUCUUCUGAUUUUAUUCCACUAUUUGUUUUCUGCUUUGCUUUUUAGUGAUACACACUAGUAAUAGUAGGGCUUCCUUACUCACUGCACUUACUUAAUUGGGUGAAAGAAAGUUCAUUUACAUAAAAGGUAUAUUCCUUGAAUGUCUGUCACCUGUGGGACCAUCUUUAUGGUAAUGACUUUGAAGUACGCACCAAAUUUUAAAGAGAGAUCACAGUGUAUCUGUAUUUGUAUUUGUGUGUAUGUUGGAAUUACCUUGAAUUAUGAAAUAAGUUUUUCACAAUUAUUUCUGUUUAUAUUCUGUAUUACUUUCCCUUUCCUAUCCUCCAUUAUAAUGAG